rnacentral:rRNA from 1 species
GAUGAACGCUAGCUACAGGCUUAACACAUGCAAGUCGAGGGGCAGCACAAGGCAGCAAUGCUGAGGUGGCGACCGGCGCACGGGUGCGUAACGCGUAUCCAACCUUCCCGUUACUCUUGGAUAGCCUUCCGAAAGGGAGAUUAAUACAAGAUGGUGUUGAAAUUCCGCAUGUUAUUUCAACUAAAGAUUUAUCGGUAACGGAUGGGGAUGCGUGACAUUAGGUAGAUGGCGGGGUAAUGGCCCACCAUGCCUACGAUGUCUAGGGGUUCUGAGAGGAAGGUCCCCCACACUGGAACUGAGACACGGUCCAGA